CAGCCCAGCCCCAGCUGUGUGGACUGAGGAGCAGCCUGCUCACCAUGGCCUGGGUCCCCGUGCUCCUCGUGCUGCUCUGUCACUGCACAGGUUCCCUCUCCCAGCCUGUGCUGACUCAACCACCAUCUAUGUCUGCAUCUCCUGAAGCCACAGCCAGACUUACCUGCACUCUCAGCAGUGGCUUUGUUGUUGGUGGCUACUACAUAAAUUGGUACCAGCAGAAGCCAGAGAGCCCUCCCCGGCAUCUCCUUGCAUAUAAAUCAGACUCAGACAAGCACCAGGGCUCCGGGGUCCCCAGCCGCUUCUCUGGAUCCAAAGACUCCUCGGCCAAUGCAGGGCUCCUGCUCAUCUCUGGGUUGUAGCCUGAGGACGAGGCCAACUAUUACUGUGCUAUAUGGCACGGAAACAGUAA